CUUUAUCUCGGKCUGGUCGUGCGCGUUGCUUCCGGAUAUCACCAAACCCCGGCACGAAAAGUGUCAAGGAACAUGCAACCGAACGGCCGGUAUUCGCCUCCCCGGAGACGGUGUGUGCGCGGAUGCUGAGCUGCGAUCUAAAGUCUAAAACGACUCUCGGCAACGGAUAUCUCGGCUCUCGCAUCGAUGAAGAACGUAGCGAAAUGCGAUACUUGGUGUGAAUUGCAGAAUCCCGUGAACCAUCGAGUCUUUGAACGCAAGUUGCGCCCCAAGCCUUCUGGCCGAGGGCACGUCUGCCUGGGUGUCACAAAUCGUCGUCCCCCACUCAUCCUUUAAGGAUUCGGGACGGAAGCUGGUCUCCCGUGUGUUACCGCACGCGGUUGGCCAAAAUCCGAGCCAAGGACGCAGGGAGCGUCCCGACAUGCGGUGGUGAACUCGAUCCACUCUCCUAUCGUCGGCCGCUCCUGUCCGGAAGCUCUAGAUGACCCAAAGUCCUCAAAGCGACC
rnacentral:rRNA from 1 species